rnacentral:rRNA from 1 species
CCUACGGGAGGCAGCAGUGAGGAAUAUUGGUCAAUGGCCGGAAGGCUGAACCAGCCAAGCCGCGUGAAGGACGAAGGUGCCAAGCAUUGUAAACUUCUUUUGUCAAGGGACAAAAUCAGGCUCGAGAGCCUGACCGAGGGUACUUGAAGAAAAAGCAUCGGCUAACUCCGUGCCAGCAGCCGCGGUAAUACGGAGGAUGCGAGCGUUAUCCGGAUUUAUUGGGUUUAAAGGGUGCGUAGGCGGACUGUUAAGUCAGCGGUAAAAGCCCGGGGCUCAACUUCGGAAGUGCCUCUGAUACUGUGCGGCUAGAGAGUAGGUGCGGUAGGCGGAAUGUAUGGUGUAGCGGUGAAAUGCUUAGAGAUCAUACAGAACACCGAUUGCGAAGGCAGCUUACCAAGCUACUUCUGACGUUGAGGCACGAAAGCGUGGGGAGCAAACAGGAUUAGAUACCCGUGUAGUC